CACUCACUCACUCACUCACUCAGACUGAUCUGGACCAGGACCCAGACUGAGUCUGUUCAGGUGGAGUCAGAUUCUGAGGCGGUGACGCUUGAGUUGAUGAAACUUGUUUAAACAGUUUUAAUGUUGAAUGUGUUUGAACUGACCUCAGAUCAGAUCAGAUCAGAUCAGAGUCACUGUCUCAGUUUUCCUCUCUGAUCCUCUGAGAGUCUCUGACAGUUGAUCUGUUCUGUUUGAACCUCACAGGAUUUUAGAGGAAUCUUUAUUCAACACAGAAACAGACAGGUGUUUGAUGACCAUCAGAGUCAGAGUCCAGGUCAGAGUCCAGAUCAGAGUCAGAGUCAGAGUCCAGGUCAGAGUCAGAGUCCAGGUCAGAGUCAGAGUCAGAGUCCAGGUCAGAGUCAGAGUCAGAGUCCAGAUCAGAGUCCAGGUCAGAGUCAGAGUCAGAGUCCAGAUCAGAGUCAGAGUCCAGGUCAGAGAGAUCCUGUCAGAUUAUCUGCAGUCUGUGUCAGAGUGAACAGACUGUAGACAGAGACAGAGACAGAGACAGAGAACAGUGUUUUCAGUGGUCUCUGCUCAGACGUCUGUUUCCUGAGCUCCAGGACGAGCUGAGAGUCAGAGUGAGUUCCUCAGCAGCUGUAGAGUCUCUAACUGAGCUGAUCACCGUUCAUUCAGGAUCAGGAUCAGGAUCAGGCAUUAAACUGCAGACGCUCUGUGAAACCUCCUGUUUCUGUCUGUGUUAAUCCUGAAGCAGAGCAGAGCUCUCUGUCCAUUCAACACCACGUCCACUUCACUGCCUGUAGGAAACUUCAUCCACAGGAAGUUUCUAAAAUCUGCAGAUUUGACAGAAGAAAAGUCUGAAGUGAACUGGAUCUGGAUCUGGAUCAGAGUCCUUCAGUGAUCAGGUUCAGGAGGGUUUAAAAAAACUUUAUUUAUAACUUUUUCAACCAAACGUCACAAACUCAACAACGACUGAGCACGAGACAAAUAAACCAAACAACAACAAGAAAAAUAAAAAGACAACAACAACAACAACAACAACAGCUGUUCAGAGCUGAAUCAGGACAGAGAGUAAAACCUUUUUAAAGAGCUCUUCUUCUUCUUCUUCUUCUUCUUCUUCUUCUUCUUCUUCUUCUUCCUCUGACCAUUCACCAACACUUUAUCUAAUAAUUAUUAUUCAUUAUAACACAGACCUAUAAAGACCUGAUCCUCCUUCAGCUGUAACAUUCAGGCUCCAUCUCUACCUGAACUGAUUAAACCUCUUCUAUCAGAUUCUACUUCUACUCUGAUUCUGCUUUAUUAUCUCUUCACGUUCUCAGUGGAAAAUGUUUUUCUUUGUACAUCACCAUUAAACCCUGAACCUCUCUGAGGUGAUCUAUUGAAUCAGCCUCACGGUGUAGAAACAGUGGAUGUUUCCUGUGACUGUGUGUUAGAUUGACAUCACCUGUUACCUGCUCAGGUGACCUCUGUCCACAGGAAGUGACCUCAUGUUACAGACUUUAUAUUAAAUGACAGUUUUCAGCAGUUCAGGAUCUCCACCAUCACCUGUGGUUGGAGUGAAAUGCAUGCUGGGUAUUGUCUCUGUCCAUAUUAGUGUAUUCAGUGUGUGAACCUACGGUGGCUGACGAGGCCAAACUGCUGCAGUUUGAUAUUAUCAUUUAUUCUGUGUUUUAUUUUCCUGCUGUGUCACUUCCUGUUUUAUUUUGGUAAUUAUUUGUGGCUGUCGUUUGUGCUCUGACUUCCUGUCAUGUGUUUGUGGUAAAACACUAAACCCUCUGGACUCUGACCUGGAGCAGGACUCAGACUCUCAGACUCUGACUGCUCCUGUUUCACAUGAACAAACUCUGCAGGUUGAACCUGUUUAGACUCAGUGUGAAUGAUGAGUGUCCUGCAGCGCCCCCCUGUGGUCUCUGUGAGUCAGAGCAGGGCUCAGGUUCAACAGUCACAUGUUUAUUUAACCCAGCUUCAUCAGCACCAGGUGAAACUGCUGAGUCUGGUUUCCUGUCCAACACAGAACCAUCAGUCAGUAACAGGAAACAACAUGAACACUGACUGAACUAAGACGAGGAGAGAAAGAAGAGCUGUUAAUGAUCCAGUAAAGAUACAGAUCAGAGGAAACUCGACUCAUCCAUUCAUAUGAAAACUGAUAUUAGACCAGAGUCCUGGUCUCAGCAGCAGCUGGGUCAGGGUGAGUCCAGUGAACAGGUCAGUCCAGCUACAGGAAGCUCUGAGGGUCAAACUGAACCUGACACAGUUCAGGGUAAAGUCUCAGAUCAACCAGUUUCUCCAGCACAACAACACACCACUGACACACACACCACUGACACACACACACUGACACACAUGUAGUAAUGUGCAAAACAGAACUCAGUGUUUUCAGGUAUGGAUCAGCUGUGACCUCUGACCCUCAGUGUCCUCUGUCCCUCAGUGUCCU